rnacentral:tRNA from 1 species
UGGACUGUGGCUCAGCGCUAGAGCGCUUGCCUAGCAUGCGUGAGGCACUGGGUUCAAUCCUCGGCACUACAU